rnacentral:rRNA from 1 species
GAACGAAGCACUUGAUGGAUUCUUCGGAAGGAAGCUCAAGUGACUGAGUGGCGGACGGGUGAGUAACGCGUGGGUAACCUGCCUCAUACAGGGGGAUAACAGUUAGAAAUGACUGCUAAUACCGCAUAAGCACACGUGAUCGCAUGAUCGAGUGUGAAAAACUCCGGUGGUAUGAGAUGGACCCGCGUCUGAUUAGCUAGUUGGUGGGGUAACGGCCCACCAAGGCGACGAUCAGUAGCCGGCCUGAGAGGGUGAACGGCCACAUUGGGACUGAGACACGGCCCAAACUCCUACGGGAGGCAGCAGUGGGGAAUAUUGCACAAUGGGGGAAACCCUGAUGCAGCGACGCCGCGUGAAGGAUGAAGUAUUUCGGUAUGUAAACUUCUAUCAGCAGGGAAGAAAAUGACGGUACCUGACUAAGAAGCCCCGGCUAACUACGUGCCAGCAGCCGCGGUAAUACGUAGGGGGCAAGCGUUAUCCGGAUUUACUGGGUGUAAAGGGAGCGUAGACGGCAGUGCAAGUCUGAAGUGAAAGCCCGGGGCUCAACCCCGGGACUGCUUUGGAAACUGUGCAGCUAGAGUGUCGGAGAGGCAAGCGGAAUUCCUAGUGUAGCGGUGAAAUGCGUAGAUAUUAGGAGGAACACCAGUGGCGAA